AGUUCUUCAAUGUUUCUUAGCACCCUGACCACUGGUGGUCCCUCUCCCCCUUGUGGUCAGACCUGUCCCUGCUCUGGCUCCUCCCUCCCCCCUCCCUCCUGCCUCUCUCUCACCAGUGCCUGCAGGUGCCUCAGGGAAGCAGAGCUCAGAGCCUAACCUGCCCUCUGCCACCCAUCCAGUCAGUCUCUGUCCAGCAGGUGCAGCUGGGAGGUCACCCUGGGCUUCUCCCCACCAGCGGGGAAGCAGAACCAUGCUGGGUCCCCUCGCCUUCCUGUGCGCCCUCCUGUUUCCAGGUGGCGUGGCAGCGAUCAGUCUGACUCAGCAGGCUGUGGCCGUGGGGCGUGUGGGCAGCUCGGCCACCCUGUCCUGCCAAGCCAGCGCCUACGUCAGCUACAUCCACUGGUACCUCUACCAGGAGGGGACUGACCCCAAGAGGAUCCUCAUGCUGGACAUGUCAAGGUUAUAUGUGGAGAGGUAUGGGGGCUUGGAGGUGGACAAAAUCGAUGCCAAGAAAGGCAAGGAAAGCAACAGCUGUGAACUGUCAGUGAAGAAGCUGCAGAAGAGCGACGAGGGCGUGUACUACUGUGCUGCCUGGGAAGCUCACAGCCCCGCGCCCUGCUCUGCUCCCUGAGCAAAAAGUCUCCCUCUCCCAGGGCACUCCAGGCCCGGACCUCCCAGGGUUGCUGGGUCCCUGGGGCUUCCUGGGGUCAACGAGCUGUGACGGAUGGCCAUUUAAGAUUCUGACCACAUCCCCUGAAGAAUGCAGGAAUAAAAUAUCGUGCAAAUAUUUUCAAGGCCGAGAGACUCUCUGGGGAUUCCGCACAAAAUGGGUGCAAGCCGAGACUGGAAGGCAGCUCCUGACUCCAGUUUCUAAGUUGCCGCCCCGCCCACCGCUGGUUCCUGAGCAGAGAGAGACUCUUUGAUCAGAAGCCCAGGAAACAGUGUGGCUGACUUCGCAGCACCCUCACCCAUGCCUGGCGCUCACUCUCCUGCGGGGGAAAUGAUCCUCAGGGCAGGUGCAUGCAUCAGCCCUGGAGGAGACCCCAGGCCCUCCGCUUUCCCCUUCUCCUUGAA